rnacentral:rRNA from 1 species
UAGGGAAUCUUCCGCAAUGGGCGAAAGCCUGACGGAGCAACGCCGCGUGAGUGAUGAAGGUCUUCGGAUCGUAAAACUCUGUUAUUAGGGAAGAACAAAUGUGUAAGUAACUAUGCACGUCUUGACGGUACCUAAUCAGAAAGCCACGGCUAAUUACGUGCCAGCAGCCGCGGUAAUACGUAGGUGGCAAGCGUUAUCCGGAAUUAUUGGGCGUAAAGCGCGCGUAGGCGGUUUUUUAAGUCUGAUGUGAAAGCCCACGGCUCAACCGUGGAGGGUCAUUGGAAACUGGAAAACUUGAGUGCAGAAGAGGAAAGUGGAAUUCCAUGUGUAGCGGUGAAAUGCGCAGAGAUAUGGAGGAACACCAGUGGCGAAGGCGACUUUCUGGUCUGUAACUGACGCUGAUGUGCGAAAGCGUGGGGAUCAAACAGG